rnacentral:tRNA from 1 species
GUGGUUGUGGCUCAGCGGUAGAGCGCUCAUCUAGCACGUGUGAGGCCCUGGGUUCCAUCCUCAGGACCACA